UAGUUCAAAUGUUUAGUAAUUAUAAAAUAUUAAAUUGUUAACGUUCAUAUAGUUGGAACUCUGAAUAAUUACAUAAUAUUAUGUGUAAAUACAUAUCCAUCAUUCAAUAAUUACAUUUUACACACGCGUGCAAGAGCCUUAUCCAGAAUGUCACGCGUGAUUUUAAAACACGUUUUGUGGUAAAAUAACGUAGGCAUGAAAAGUAAGAAACGAAUAAGAAAGAAAACUACAAAAAAGAAAAGGGAGAGAAAGACAUAUGUUAAUUAAAACUAUCGCACAAAAUAUAACUAAUAUUUCCAGCUGGAACUGUCCAUAGCAAUCCAUAUUCUAAAAAAUGUUGGCUCUUUCUAUGACUUGUGUAAUCUUCAUUCAAUUCCAUUUUAGCGAAUCUAUUUGCAAUAAAUUAAAGAAUACUAUAUUUUUCUAAACCUUCGUUAAUCUUCAUUAAUAGAAGUUUUCCCGCAGAUGACAUUGAAAUAUUAUUCUAUUCUCAUGGUAUUCCGAGAAAUAUCCAUCAGAAGAAAUGUUUGAAUUGAGAAAAAGGAAGGAAGAAUAUCGGAGAAAUGAAAUUUUCGCUGAAAUAUCGAUCACGCUGAGGAUAAGAGCAUGAAAUAAUAAAUACACCGAGUUUUUCUAAACGCGAGGGCCAUGAGCUAUGAAAUCAAGAAUUUCAUUUAUCCCCUUUGCACUUUCAGUAUUUCCCUCUGCGCUUUAAUAUCUAACGCUGCUGUCUUGUCAACGUUUUUAUUAAUUUUUUUGUAGUAUAAUAAAAGAAGAAAAUCUGACGUGUAUUAUAUUAUGUCAUAAAAAAGGUGCUAAUAGCGAGAUAUGAUUAAAUAAAACAGAUAGCCAUUGAAACGGAAUUAAGAGUUUAUUAUGAAAGGGAGAUUCGUUUAUUCCUUAUUGCGAAGACAUUCAAGGAUUUAGAAAGUGAUUCUCCAGCUAUUCAACCCCCUCUGAAGGAAAACUUUAUCUCGAUUGCUGGAAUAAUCUUGAAUGUGUAGUACUUACCGACAUCACCAUCACCUAGAAUUACGUGAUGGAGAAUGAAGAACACCAACAGUACCGAGCCUCCUCGCCACCACUGUUUACGGCCCAUAGAUCUUCCUACAAUUACACAUAUGCAUAAAGUUCAUGGUUCAUAGUCGAUAGCAUAGUUAUUUUCAUUAAGCUAGGCCGAGCUGAUGCUCUCCUCGAUUAAUGAAAAAGCGUAGAUCUUCAUUUUUAAUGAGACGAGGCA